rnacentral:pre_miRNA from 1 species
AUUACCUGGGGAUCUUGUUAAAAUGCAGAUAUUGAUUCAGUAAGACUGCUUUGGAGUCCGGGAUUCUCCAUUUCUAACAAGUUCCCAGGUGAUUCCAC